AAAACUUUAUUUUUGGAAACAUCCCCUCCUUCCUUGGCACACUUCCAGAUCUUCAAGAACUGAACUUGGCAAGUAAUUAUUUCGAAGGAGCAGUACCAGACUCAGUAGCAUGCAACAAGAACUUAAACUUAACUCUUGUUGGUAAUAACUUCUUGACAUCCAUGGCUUGUUCGAAGUCCAACAAAUCUCCUUCUUCGUCAGCAAACGUAGGAGGCGGAUUCCAAGUUCCGUCAGGCUCAAGAAAAACAAAAAAGAAG